UAUUCUGCCAAAAUCACAAGGAAAGCAGCACCCAUUUAUUCUUUGAAUGCAGUAUAACUAGCAGGAUAUGGUUUGCUAUACUGAGAUGGCAUAAGAGAAAUAAAAAUUAUAAGGAAUGAGAUGCAGUAUGAAAAUGGGUGAGUAAGCAGUCUGCUGAGAAAAAUGUAAGAGGGAAGAUCUUAAAAGCCAGUCUAGCUGCAGUGGUGUAUAACAUUAUGGAUCAAAAGGAAUGCUCGGAUAUUUCAGAAGAAGACUACAACAGAUGAAGAAUUAAUUCGAAAGGUGAAAAUUGAUUUAUGUACUAGAGACUAGAGUGAGAGCAAAUAGUAGCUUAUUUUCAUACAUAUGCUCCUGUAGUAGAAGGGAUUAUGUAAUUUUGUUUUCUCUUUAGAAGAAAGUGUAGAAGUAGGAAAAAGAAUGAGAUGGUUAUGGCACUCAUCGGAGAUGU
rnacentral:lncRNA from 1 species